AUUGAACGCUGGCGGCAGGCCUAACACAUGCAAGUCGAGCGGCAGCGGGGGGAAGCUUGCUUCCCCGCCGGCGAGCGGCGGACGGGUGAGUAAUGUCUGGGAAACUGCCUGAUGGAGGGGGAUAACUACUGGAAACGGUAGCUAAUACCGCAUAACGUCGCAAGACCAAAGAGGGGGACCUUCGGGCCUCUUGCCAUCGGAUGUGCCCAGAUGGGAUUAGCUAGUAGGUGGGGUAAAGGCUCACCUAGGCGACGAUCCCUAGCUGGUCUGAGAGGAUGACCAGCCACACUGGAACUGAGACACGGUCCAGACUCCUACGGGAGGCAGCAGUGGGGAAUAUUGCACAAUGGGCGCAAGCCUGAUGCAGCCAUGCCGCGUGUGUGAAGAAGGCCUUCGGGUUGUAAAGCACUUUCAGCGGGGAGGAAGGGAGCAGACUUAAUACGUCUGUUCAUUGACGUUACCCGCAGAAGAAGCACCGGCUAACUCCGUGCCAGCAGCCGCAGUAAAAC
rnacentral:rRNA from 1 species